GACGAACGCUGGCGGCGUGCUUAACACAUGCAAGUCGAACGGAAAGGCCCUGCUUUUGUGGGGUGCUCGAGUGGCGAACGGGUGAGUAACACGUGAGUAACCUGCCCUUGACUUUGGGAUAACUUCAGGAAACUGGGGCUAAUACCGGAUAGGAGCUCCUGCUGCAUGGGGGGGGUUGGAAAGUUCCGGCGGUUGGGGAUGGACUCGCGGCUUAUCAGCUUGUUGGUGGGGUAGUGGCUUACGAAGGCUUUGACGGGUAGGCGGCCUGAGAGCGUGACCGGGCACCAUGCUCCUAAGAGACGCCCCAGUCUCGUAUGGGAGGCAGUAGUCGGGAACCUGGCAGAGUGGGGGGACGCGUGUGGUAGAAGUGUUCCGUUCGUGAUGCUCUCUUUCUAGUGGAGAACAGCUGUGGAAGUUGCCGUAGCGGUAUUGACGGUAACUGGUCAGGAAGCACCGGCUAACUACGUG
rnacentral:rRNA from 1 species